UGGGAAUCUACCCCUCUCUACGGAACAACUCCGGGAAACUGGAGCUAAUACCGUAUACGCCCCCCUUUAGAGAUAUUGGGGGGGAAAGAUUUAUCGGAGAUGGAUGAGCCCGCGUUGGAUUAGCUAGUUGGUGGGGUAAAGGCCUACCAAGGCGACGAUCCAUAGCUGGUCUGAGAGGAUGAUCAGCCACACUGGGACUGAGACACGGCCCAGACUCCUACGGGAGGCAGCAG
rnacentral:rRNA from 1 species